rnacentral:rRNA from 1 species
GGUUAAGCGACUAAGCGUACACGGUGGAUGCCCUGGCAGUCAGAGGCGAUGAAGGACGUGCUAAUCUGCGAUAAGCGUCGGUAAGGUGAUAUGAACCGUUAUAACCGGCGAUUUCCGAAUGGGGAAACCCAGUGUGUUUCGACACACUAUCAUUAACUGAAUCCAUAGGUUAAUGAGGCGAACCGGGGGAACUGAAACAUCUAAGUACCCCGAGGAAAAGAAAUCAACCGAGAUUCCCCCAGUAGCGGCGAGCGAACGGGGAGCAGCCCAGAGCCUGAAUCAGUGUGUGUGUUAGUGGAAGCGUCUGGAAAGGCGCGCGAUACAGGGUGACAGCCCCGUACACAAAAAUGCACAUGCUGUGAGCUCGAUGAGUAGGGCGGGACACGUGGUAUCCUGUCUGAAUAUGGGGGGACCAUCCUCCAAGGCUAAAUACUCCUGACUGACCGAUAGUGAACCAGUACCGUGAGGGAAAGGCGAAAAGAACCCCGGCGAGGGGAGUGAAAAAGAACCUGAAACCGUGUACGUACAAGCAGUGGGAGCACGCUUAGGCGUGUGACUGCGUACCUUUUGUAUAAUGGGUCAGCGACUUAUAUUCUGUAGCAAGGUUAACCGAAUAGGGGAGCCGAAGGGAAACCGAGUCUUAACUGGGCGUUAAGUUGCAGGGUAUAGACCCGAAACCCGGUGAUCUAGCCAUGGGCAGGUUGAAGGUUGGGUAACACUAACUGGAGGACCGAACCGACUAAUGUUGAAAAAUUAGCGGAUGACUUGUGGCUGGGGGUGAAAGGCCAAUCAAACCGGGAGAUAGCUGGUUCUCCCCGAAAGCUAUUUAGGUAGCGCCUCGUGAAUUCAUCUCCGGGGGUAGAGCACUGUUUCGGCAAGGGGGUCAUCCCGACUUACCAACCCGAUGCAAACUGCGAAUACCGGAGAAUGUUAUCACGGGAGACACACGGCGGGUGCUAACGUCCGUCGUGAAGAGGGAAACAACCCAGACCGCCAGCUAAGGUCCCAAAGUCAUGGUUAAGUGGGAAACGAUGUGGGAAGGCCCAGACAGCCAGGAUGUUGGCUUAGAAGCAGCCAUCAUUUAAAGAAAGCGUAAUAGCUCACUGGUCGAGUCGGCCUGCGCGGAAGAUGUAACGGGGCUAAACCAUGCACCGAAGCUGCGGCAGCGACGCUUAUGCGUUGUUGGGUAGGGGAGCGUUCUGUAAGCCUGCGAAGGUGUGCUGUGAGGCAUGCUGGAGGUAUCAGAAGUGCGAAUGCUGACAUAAGUAACGAUAAAGCGGGUGAAAAGCCCGCUCGCCGGAAGACCAAGGGUUCCUGUCCAACGUUAAUCGGGGCAGGGUGAGUCGACCCCUAAGGCGAGGCCGAAAGGCGUAGUCGAUGGGAAACAGGUUAAUAUUCCUGUACUUGGUGUUACUGCGAAGGGGGACGGAGAAGGCUAUGUUGGCCGGGCGACGGUUGUCCCGGUUUAAGCGUGUAGGCUGGUUUUCCAGGCAAAUCCGGAAAAUCAAGGCUGAGGCGUGAUGACGAGGCACUACGGUGCUGAAGCAACAAAUGCCCUGCUUCCAGGAAAAGCCUCUAAGCAUCAGGUAACAUCAAAUCGUACCCCAAACCGACACAGGUGGUCAGGUAGAGAAUACCAAGGCGCUUGAGAGAACUCGGGUGAAGGAACUAGGCAAAAUGGUGCCGUAACUUCGGGAGAAGGCACGCUGAUAUGUAGGUGAGGUCCCUCGCGGAUGGAGCUGAAAUCAGUCGAAGAUACCAGCUGGCUGCAACUGUUUAUUAAAAACACAGCACUGUGCAAACACGAAAGUGGACGUAUACGGUGUGACGCCUGCCCGGUGCCGGAAGGUUAAUUGAUGGGGUUAGCGCAAGCGAAGCUCUUGAUCGAAGCCCCGGUAAACGGCGGCCGUAACUAUAACGGUCCUAAGGUAGCGAAAUUCCUUGUCGGGUAAGUUCCGACCUGCACGAAUGGCGUAAUGAUGGCCAGGCUGUCUCCACCCGAGACUCAGUGAAAUUGAACUCGCUGUGAAGAUGCAGUGUACCCGCGGCAAGACGGAAAGACCCCGUGAACCUUUACUAUAGCUUGACACUGAACAUUGAGCCUUGAUGUGUAGGAUAGGUGGGAGGCUUAGAAGUGUGGACGCCAGUCUGCAUGGAGCCGACCUUGAAAUACCACCCUUUAAUGUUUGAUGUUCUAACGUUGACCCGUAAUCCGGGUUGCGGACAGUGUCUGGUGGGUAGUUUGACUGGGGCGGUCUCCUCCUAAAGAGUAACGGAGGAGCACGAAGGUUGGCUAAUCCUGGUCGGACAUCAGGAGGUUAGUGCAAUGGCAUAAGCCAGCUUGACUGCGAGCGUGACGGCGCGAGCAGGUGCGAAAGCAGGUCAUAGUGAUCCGGUGGUUCUGAAUGGAAGGGCCAUCGCUCAACGGAUAAAAGGUACUCCGGGGAUAACAGGCUGAUACCGCCCAAGAGUUCAUAUCGACGGCGGUGUUUGGCACCUCGAUGUCGGCUCAUCACAUCCUGGGGCUGAAGUAGGUCCCAAGGGUAUGGCUGUUCGCCAUUUAAAGUGGUACGCGAGCUGGGUUUAGAACGUCGUGAGACAGUUCGGUCCCUAUCUGCCGUGGGCGCUGGAGAACUGAGGGGGCUGCUCCUAGUACGAGAGGACCGGAGUGGACGCAUCACUGGUGUUCGGGUUGUCAUGCCAAUGGCACUGCCCGGUAGCUAAAUGCGGAAGAGAUAAGUGCUGAAAGCAUCUAAGCACGAAACUUGCCCCGAGAUGAGUUCUCCCUGACUCCUUGAGAGUCCUGAAGGAACGUUGAAGACGACGACGUUGAUAGGCCGGGUGUGUAAGCGCAGCGAUGCGUUGAGCUAACCGGUACUAAUGAACCGUGAGGCUUAACCUU